rnacentral:rRNA from 1 species
GGAUUAAUACCUCAUAGUAUGUGAGGAUGGCAUCAUUUUCACAUUAAAGUCACAACGGCAAAAGAUGAGCAUGCGUCCCAUUAGCUAGUUGGUAAGGUAACGGCUUACCAAGGCUACGAUGGGUAGGGGUCCUGAGAGGGAGAUCCCCCACACUGGUACUGAGACACGGACCAGACUCCUACGGGAGGCAGCAGUGAGGAAUAUUGGACAAUGGGCGCAAGCCUGAUCCAGCCAUGCCGCGUGCAGGAUGACGGUCCUAUGGAUUGUAAACUGCUUUGUACAGGAAGAAACACUACUUCGUGAAGUAGCUUGACGGUACUGUAAGAAUAAGGAUCGGCUAACUCCGUG